AUUGAACGCUGGCGGCAGGCCUAACACAUGCAAGUCGAGCGGAUGAGUGGAGCUUGCUCCAUGAUUCAGCGGCGGACGGGUGAGUAAUGCCUAGGAAUCUGCCUGGUAGUGGGGGACAACGUUUCGAAAGGAACGCUAAUACCGCAUACGUCCUAAGGGAGAAAGCAGGGGACCUUCGGGCCUUGCGCUAUCAGAUGAGCCUAGGUCGGAUUAGCUAGUAGGUGAGGUAAUGGCUCACCUAGGCGACGAUCCGUAACUGGUCUGAGAGGAUGAUCAGUCACACUGGAACUGAGACACGGUCCAGACUCCUACGGGAGGCAGCAGUGGGGAAUAUUGGACAAUGGGCGAAAGCCUGAUCCAGCCAUGCCGCGUGUGUGAAGAAGGUCUUCGGAUUGUAAAGCACUUUAAGUUGGGAGGAAGGGCAGUAAGUUAAUACCUUGCUUUUUUGACGUUACCAACAGAAUAAGCACCGGCUAACUUCGUGCCAGCCGCCGCCGUAAUAC
rnacentral:rRNA from 1 species